CCCGCCUCGCCCCCGCCUCCCCGGCCUCGCCGCUCCGUCGCCUCCUGGGACUGCGGCCCACGCGCCCCGCCCGCCCCGCUGAGGUGGAACCCGAGGCCGGAGCUUAGCGCCCAGUAGAGGUAUUGAGACGUCCUCGGACUGAAAGAACGGUGAGACUCAACGAAUCUCCCCGCACCCCUGGCCCUUUUCCCUCGGGCUUUCACAGCUUCCUCCUAAAGUGGAAAAAUGGGAAAGACUUGGAGGCUGCCAAGCCAAAGUGGAAACCUCGGUACCUGUGAAAUUAAAGCAACAUCCUAAUGCCCGGAUUCUUUUAAUAGAAGAUGUUCAGAGGAACUUUAUUCUCUCCUACUCACCCUGCUAACAUUCACAGAAGGUCUAGAUGUUCAGGUAUCUCUGAAUUAUUCGUCAAGUUGCUGCCACGAAUUCUGUAGCAGCAGGAGGACUGAAAGAGAAGUCAUCUUUGCCGGGGUUGUAGUAAACGAACAUGUUUCCAGCUUUCAGAGACAAGUUUGGGAAGCUGCAGAUACCUCAGACAGUUUUCUUGCCUCUGCUGGACAGGGUGCGGAGAGCAGAGGGAGGGGAAGAGAAGCCAGCGCUUUCUUAACCCCAUUGUCUAAGCAGAGUAGAAUGUACUCGGGUCAGAAGUGCAAUUCAUGUAUACCAAAACAUUCCCCCAUUCCUAUCCUUCCCAUGUCAGGUCUCACCCAAAGGAACGAAUAUUUAUCCAACUUAUCCCCUGUUCUAAACGCCACAGGACGAAGCUCACCGACCCAAACUAUUUUACUCACACCCUAGUCUUACCCACGUCCCACUCUUCCCCGAUUCCCCAGAUUUUCUCAUUGCUCAGCAAAAUCCCCUUUGUUUCAAGUCCUGUGACUAUUUCCUUAGCAUUCUUGCCAUAGCUGAAACCUACUGCUUCCCCCUUUAGUCCCUCUCUAGUCUCCUCUCCUCAGUCUACUCUUGGGAAGUUGCUGUAAUUUAGAUUAAUAAAUUUGGAAAGAAUAA